rnacentral:rRNA from 1 species
GUUGGGUAGGGGAGCGUUCUGUAAGCCUGCGAAGGUGGCCUGUGAGGGUUGCUGGAGGUAUCAGAAGUGCGAAUGCUGACAUAAGUAACGAUAAAGCGGGUGAAAAGCCCGCUCGCCGGAAGACCAAGGGUUCCUGUCCAACGUUAAUCGGGGCAGGGUGAGUCGACCCCUAAGGCGAGGCCGAAAGGCGUAGUCGAUGGGAAACGGGUUAAUAUUCCCGUACUUGGUGUUACUGCGAAGGGGGGACGGAGAAGGCUAUGUUGGCCGGGCGACGGUUGUCCCGGUUUAAGCGUGUAGGUGUGUGUUCCAGGUAAAUCCGGUUCACUUUAACACUGAGGCGUGAUGACGAGGCACUACGGUGCUGAAGCAACAAAUGCCCUGCUUCCAGGAAAAGCCUCUAAGCAUCAGGUAACAUCAAAUCGUACCCCAAACCGACACAGGUGGUCAGGUAGAGAAUACCAAGGCGCUUGAGAGAACUCGGGUGAAGGAACUAGGCAAAAUGGUGCCGUAACUUCGGGAGAAGGCACGCUGACAUGUAGGUGAAGUGAUUUACUCAUGGAGCUGAAGUCAGUCGAAGAUACCAGCUGGCUGCAACUGUUUAUUAAAAACACAGCACUGUGCAAACACGAAAGUGGACGUAUACGGUGUGACGCCUGCCCGGUGCCGGAAGGUUAAUUGAUGGGGUCAGCGCAAGCGAAGCUCCUGAUCGAAGCCCCGGUAAACGGCGGCCGUAACUAUAACGGUCCUAAGGUAGCGAAAUUCCUUGUCGGGUAAGUUCCGACCUGCACGAAUGGCGUAAUGAUGGCCAGGCUGUCUCCACCCGAGACUCAGUGAAAUUGAACUCGCUGUGAAGAUGCAGUGUACCCGCGGCAAGACGGAAAGACCCCGUGAACCUUUACUAUAGCUUGACACUGAACAUUGAGCCUUGAUGUGUAGGAUAGGUGGGAGGCUUUGAAGCGUGGACGCCAGUCUGCGUGGAGCCGACCUUGAAAUACCACCCUUUAAUGUUUGAUGUUCUAACGUGGACCCGUAAUCCGGGUUGCGGACAGUGUCUGGUGGGUAGUUUGACUGGGGCGGUCUCCUCCUAAAGAGUAACGGAGGAGCACGAAGGUUGGCUAAUCCUGGUCGGACAUCAGGAGGUUAGUGCAAUGGCAUAAGCCAGCUUGACUGCGAGCGUGACGGCGCGAGCAGGUGCGAAAGCAGGUCAUAGUGAUCCGGUGGUUCUGAAUGGAAGGGCCAUCGCUCAACGGAUAAAAGGUACUCCGGGGAUAACAGGCUGAUACCGCCCAAGAGUUCAUAUCGACGGCGGUGUUUGGCACCUCGAUGUCGGCUCAUCACAUCCUGGGGCUGAAGUAGGUCCCAAGGGUAUGGCUGUUCGCCAUUUAAAGUGGUACGCGAGCUGGGUUUAGAACGUCGUGAGACAGUUCGGUCCCUAUCUGCCGUGGGCGCUGGAGAACUGAGGGGGGCUGCUCCUAGUACGAGAGGACCGGAGUGGACGCAUCACUGGUGUUCGGGUUGUCAUGCCAAUGGCACUGCCCGGUAGCUAAAUGCGGAAGAGAUAAGUGCUGAAAGCAUCUAAGCACGAAACUUGCCCCGAGAUGAGUUCUCCCUGAGACUU